rnacentral:rRNA from 1 species
UUGAUUAUGACGUACUUGUACUGAUUGAGAUUUUAACACGAAGUGAGUGGCGAACGGGUGAGUAACACGUGGGUAACCUGCCCAGAAGUAGGGGAUAACACCUGGAAACAGAUGCUAAUACCGUAUAACAGAGAAAACCGCAUGGUUUUCUUUUAAAAGAUGGCUCUGCUAUCACUUCUGGAUGGACCCGCGGCGUAUUAGCUAGUUGGUGAGGUAAAGGCUCACCAAGGCAGUGAUACGUAGCCGACCUGAGAGGGUAAUCGGCCACAUUGGGACUGAGACACGGCCCAGACUCCUACGGGAGGCAGCAGUAGGGAAUCUUCCACAAUGGACGCAAGUCUGAUGGAGCAACGCCGCGUGAGUGAAGAAGGGUUUCGGCUCGUAAAGCUCUGUUGUUAAAGAAGAACGUGGGUAAGAGUAACUGUUUACCCAGUGACGGUAUUUAACCAGAAAGCCACGGCUAACUACGUGCCAGCAGCCGCGGUAAUACGUAGGUGGCAAGCGUUAUCCGGAUUUAUUGGGCGUAAAGCGAGCGCAGGCGGUCUUUUAAGUCUAAUGUGAAAGCCUUCGGCUCAACCGAAGAAGUGCAUUGGAAACUGGGAGACUUGAGUGCAGAAGAGGACAGUGGAACUCCAUGUGUAGCGGUGAAAUGCGUAGAUAUAUGGAAGAACACCAGUGGCGAAGGCGGCUGUCUGGUCUGCAACUGACGCUGAGGCUCGAAAGCAUGGGUAGCGAACAGGAUUAGAUACCCUGGUAGUCCAUGCCGUAAACGAUGAUUACUAAGUGUUGGAGGGUUUCCGCCCUUCAGUGCUGCAGCUAACGCAUUAAGUAAUCCGCCUGGGGAGUACGACCGCAAGGUUGAAACUCAAAAGAAUUGACGGGGGCCCGCACAAGCGGUGGAGCAUGUGGUUUAAUUCGAAGCUACGCGAAGAACCUUACCAGGUCUUGACAUCUUCUGACAGUCUAAGAGAUUAGAGGUUCCCUUCGGGGACAGAAUGACAGGUGGUGCAUGGUUGUCGUCAGCUCGUGUCGUGAGAUGUUGGGUUAAGUCCCGCAACGAGCGCAACCCUUAUUACUAGUUGCCAGCAUUAAGUUGGGCACUCUAGUGAGACUGCCGGUGACAAACCGGAGGAAGGUGGGGACGACGUCAAAUCAUCAUGCCCCUUAUGACCUGGGCUACACACGUGCUACAAUGGAUGGUACAACGAGUCGCGAGACCGCGAGGUUAAGCUAAUCUCUUAAAACCAUUCUCAGUUCGGACUGUAGGCUGCAACUCGCCUACACGAAGUCGGAAUCGCUAGUAAUCGCGGAUCAGCAUGCCGCGGUGAAUACGUUCCCGGGCCUUGUACACACCGCCCGUCACACCAUGAGAGUUUGUAACACCCAAAGCCGGUGGGGU